rnacentral:rRNA from 1 species
CCUCGGGUGGCAGCAGUGGGGAAUAUUGGACAAUGGGCGAAAGCCUGAUCCAGCCAUGCCGCGGGUGUGAAGUAGGCCUUCGGGUUGUAAAGCACUUUCAGUGGGGAAGAAAGCCUUGGGGCUAAUACCCUCGAGGAAGGACAUCACCCACAGAAGAAGCACCGGCUAACUCCGUGCCAGCAGCCGCGGUAAUACGGAGGGUGCGAGCGUUAAUCGGAAUUACUGGGCGUAAAGCGCGCGUAGGCGGUCUGAUAAGCCGGUUGUGAAAGCCCCGGGCUCAACCUGGGAACGGCAUCCGGAACUGUCAGGCUAGAGUGCAGGAGAGGAAGGUAGAAUUCCCGGUGUAGCGGUGAAAUGCGUAGAGAUCGGGAGGAAUACCAGUGGCGAAGGCGGCCUUCUGGACUGACACUGACGCUGAGGUGCGAAAGCGUGGGUAGCAAACAGGAUUAGAUACCCUAGUAGUC